UACGUAGGGUGCAAGCGUUAUCCGGAAUUAUUGGGCGUAAAGAGCUCGUAGGCGGUCUGUCGCGUCUGCUGUGAAAACCCGAGGCUCAACCUCGGGCCUGCAGUGGGUACGGGCAGACUAGAGUGCGGUAGGGGAGAUUGGAACUCCUGGUGUAGCGGUGGAAUGCGCAGAUAUCAGGAGGAACACCGAUGGCGAAGGCAGAUCUCUGGGCCGUAACUGACGCUGAGGAGCGAAAGCGUGGGGAGCGAACAGG
rnacentral:rRNA from 1 species